rnacentral:rRNA from 1 species
AGAGAGUUGAUUCUGGCUCAGGAUGAACGCUAGCGGAAGGCUUAACACAUGCAAGUCGAGGGGCAGCGAGAUGUAGCAAUACAUUGUCGGCGACCGGCAGACGGGUGCGUAACGCGUAUGCAACCUACCCACCACAGGGGGUAUAGCCCGGCGAAAGCCGGAAUAAUCCCCCAUGGUUCCAACCCACCGCAUGAUGAGUUGGAUAAACCCGCGAGGGGGUGAUGGAUGGGCAUGCGUGGCAUUAGGCAGUUGGCGGGGUAACGGCCCACCAAACCGACGAUGCCUAGGGGUCCUGAGAGGGAGGUCCCCCACAUUGGAACUGAGACACGGUCCAAACUCCUACGGGAGGCAGCAGUGAGGAAUAUUGGUCAAUGGGCGAGAGCCUGAACCAGCCAUGCCGCGUGCAGGAAGACGGCCUUAUGGGUUGUAAACUGCUUUUAUUGGGGACGAGCAUGAGUACGCGUACUCAAAUGACGGUACCCGAUGAAUAAGCACCGGCUAACUCCGUGCCAGCCGCGGC